CAAAUUGAAGAGUUUGAUCCUGGCUCAGAUUGAACGCUGGCGGCAUGGCUAAAACAUGCAAGUCGAACGAUUAAAGCUUCUUCGGAAGUGCAUAAAGUGGCGUAAGGGCGAGGAAUACAUUUCUAUGUACCCCUAAGUCAAGGAUAGCCCAGAGAAAUUUGGUGUAAUACUUGAUGUGGUCUCCGGAUCAAAGAUUUAUCGCUUAGGGAGCAGGGAAUGUCCUAUCAGGUUGUUGGUGAGGUAACGGCUCACCAAGCCAAAGACGGGUAGCGGGUGUGAGAGCAUGACCCGCCGCAUCGGAACUGAGACACUGUC
rnacentral:rRNA from 1 species